GAUCAAGAAGAAACAACGCCAAAGGACUUCAUUUCCCAGGAUGCACCUGCACCCACUCAUCUGCCUUCAGGUGCGACCGCUUUACCUAUGGGCUUGACGGGAAGAUUCAAAAUCGCGAACCGUUACUGCAUGGAGUCGGUCUCUUUGUUUGCUCAUCGACAUUACGAGAAAUAUAAUGAAGUAACAGUGGGGGCAAAACAUCAGACUGAUCCAGACACUGAAGAAAUUGAUGUCACUGCAAUCUGGCCAAAAUGAUACAACUAUAUUGAACUAGCCUACUGUAAUGAAGCUGCAGAACAACACAGAGACUCUGAGGACAUCAACACAGAAAAUGAAGGCUCCAAAGAGAUGUCUGUCCAGAUGAGGGUGCAUCAACUUUACCUUUGCUGACAACAGUUAACUUAACUCAAACCAUUUAAGGAAAUCGGUUGCCUUAAACCAUUAAGUUUUAAAAAACAUACAUUUGAGUACUGUGAACUUAAGUCUUGUGCAAUUAUGCACUUAUAUUUAGGUAGU